CAUCGUGUACCUCAAGCGGGUGGCCGGUGCCUCAGGCUUCCUUCCACGGAUAGAAACUUCGUCGAACCCUCCAUCCAUUGCUUUCUCCGUAGUUGCGUAUUUUAGACUCAUGGUUGAUUUAAAAGGUGGGGGUUCUGAUCAAUUGAAUUGCUUCCGCGCGACGGUGGGAGGUUGAUUUAUGGAGAAUUGCAGAAUAUCCUUAGAAUCAUAGAAGUUGAUGGGUUCAUCAGGUUCAAAAGGGAAGAGUGGGGCACCCCGGCAAUCAUCAACGUCGUUCAUUUCAGGGGGCCGAGCUAGUAAUCCGCAGGCAUCAUUCACACCUUCGCCACAGAAAAACAUGCUUCCUUGCAGCACUGAGGCACAAGGGAAGAAUGUGAAGGCGAGGUAUUUGAGGAUAUCCGACAACUACAAUUCUUUGGAACAGGUGACAGAGGCUCUUAGACAUGCUGGCCUUGAAUCUUCCAAUCUCAUCAUUGGUAUUGAUUUCACAAAGAGCAAUGAGUGGACUGGUAAAGUAUCGUUCAACCACCGGAGCUUGCAUCACAUUGGAGACUCUCCAAAUCCUUAUGAACAAGCAAUCUCUAUUAUUGGAAGAACCUUAUCUACUUUUGAUGAGGAUAACUUGAUACCGUGUUUUGGGUUUGGAGAUGCAUCGACACACGAUCAAGAUGUUUUUGGUUUCUAUCCAGAUGAGAGACGCUGUAAUGGUUUUGAGGAAGUACUGAUGCAGUACAAAGAAAUAGUCCCACAUCUGCAACUAUCUGGCCCAACGUCGUUUGCUCCUAUCAUCAAUACUGCUAUGACGAUUGUGGAGCAAAGUGGUGGCCAGUAUCAUAUUUUGUUGAUAAUUGCUGAUGGACAGGUUACAAGAAGUGUAAAUACCGAAGGUGAUCAAUUAAGCCCGCAAGAGAAAAGUACAAUUGAUGCUAUUGUAGAAGCAAGCAAGUAUCCGUUGUCGAUCAUUUUAGUUGGAGUUGGAGAUGGGCCUUGGGACAUGAUGAAGGAAUUUGAUGAUAACAUCCCUUCUCGGGCUUUCGAUAAUUUCCAGUUUGUGAAUUUCACAGAGAUUAUGUCGAAGAAUGUGCCACUUCCUAAAAAAGAGACAGAGUUUGCAGUUGCUGCGCUGAUGGAAAUACCUUCACAGUAUGAAGCGACUUUGGAGCUUCUUAUCUUGGGUCGACGUAGAGGUAAUGCACCAGGCAGGAUUCCUCUUCCCCCACCUAGAAAUCAUGCCUUGCCUUCUCGUAGUCUGAAGCGUUCUAGACCUAGCAGUUUCCAGCAAAAUGAGCCUUCUUAUCAUGGAACCACUUUCUCCAUGAGUACGGCUCCACCAGCAAGUGAUGCAAAGGAUAAGCAGGUUUGCCCCAUCUGCUUUAGCAGCCCCAAAGACAUGGCCUUUGAUUGUGGGCAUCGGACAUGUUAUGACUGCGGACAGAACCUUCAUGUAUGCACUGUGUGCGGGAGCAAGGUUCGAACCAGAAUCAAGCUCUAUUAAAAGGCCCCUAUCUUUUGUAUAGAGAUAAAUGAAUCUGAAGGUUUGGGAGGAUUAACAUGACGCCAUCCCCUUCCCAAACUCAAGUUGUGAUUUUCUCUACACCUGUGAUUUUAUCAAUGUCUGCAUGUGGGAAACGCAGAAUUUGUUCUAAUCAUCAUGCGGAGGGACAUUCGCAUUGUUGUUAACUUUUCACACUGUUAUAGUAUUUCAUAUCUUGAUGAGCUCGUCAUUAUCAUCUGUUGCAAGGAAUCCAGGGAAGGCCUCCUCCCAAAUGAAUUCGGCAAGAAAUUGUGCAGGUUAGGACAUAGCCGUGGUUAAUGUGGAUUGGAUUCAAGCAGUGUAAGGUUAAUCCUGUAAUUGAAAGCGGAGACUAACAGGCCCAAUUCCCUUCAAUUUCUUCAAUGGGUUAUUUGCAAACUAGGUUUGUAGAUAAGACUGUCCUGUUCCAUCAGCAUGAAUGGUGAGCUGCUGUCUCAAGGAUAGAAAUUUCAGUAUCAAGUGUGUAGUCUGAAAUCUGUGAGAAAUUGUGGUUAUACAAGGUGAUAUUUCAUGGUUGCAGAAUUUGCAAAAAAAGAAUAAGAAAAAAAGAAAG